rnacentral:rRNA from 1 species
AUAUAACUUUCAACAAUGGAUCUCUUGGCUCUCGCAUCGAUGAAGAACGCAGCGAAAUGCGAUAAGUAGUGUGAAUUGCAGAAUUCAGUGAAUCAUCGAAUCUUUGAACGCAUCUUGCGCUCCUUGGUAUUCUGAGGAGCAUGCCUGUUUGAGUGUCAG